CUGGGCUUGAACUUGGAAAGAUCCUCCUGCCUCAGCCUUCCGAGUGCCGGAAUUACAGGAGGGAGCCACCAUCGCUUCUCGGCCUUUUGGCUAAGAUCAAGUGUAGUAUCUGUUCUCAGUUACUUAACUACCCAAGCCACCAGAGAAGGCAAAUUCCUCAGGAGUAUUUAGAUGCUCGGAAGCAUGGCACGUGCACCAUCUAGUGCCCAAACUGGCACAUUGCACUUUCAUCAAGCGGGAACUCCAGUCUGUGACAACUGGGUCUCCGAAUUGGGUCUCAGCGCAGUGCAGGUCUGUUCUCAGGCACGCCAUGGCUUUCCAGAGAGCAGGAAGCUGCUUCUCGCUCCUCGACUCUCACCGUUAUGAAUUAUUUUAGCCUCUGUUUCUUCCCUGCACGCAUAAUUGUGUUUGUAUUUCUCUUGAGAUUGACGACAGUCUGCCUUACAGAGAGGUGAGUUAAGAGCCCAGACUUUGGAGUGAGACAGCCACUGGGCUCUCAGCGGCAUUAGUACCUGCUAUGAGCCAUCAGGCGACCUCUUGGUGUCUUAAACUCAUCUGUAAACUGCGGUCCCGGGAGAAUGCAGUGCGUUCGAUGCGUGUACCAUUCCCAGGAGCCGUGGUUGGGGCAGAAAACCAUUUUCUUUAUUUCAUCAGCGUGAUUCCCGUCCUUAGCACACAUCUUUACUCUCAUUCAUAGAGCUGAGCGUCCACCUCCCUAACUGAUGAGGUUUUCUUCAAGACACUCAGCCUGCCCCUGGGGCAGUGGUGGGCGUCCCCGUUUAUACAGCGUGUGGUAGUUUACCAAGCGCUUUCGUAGACACUACUUCUUGUGAUAAAAGAGAGUCCCGAAUCCCAGGGAAUGGCACAGCCGUCCAUCUCUUUGGCCAAACCUGAAACAUCCCCUUCCUUCCCCGCAGUCAGCCGCCGGCCCCCGUUCAGCCUAACUUGCAAGUAUUUAUUAGGCGCCCGCUGGACCUGCUCUGAUGCGAUCGCUGCGCUCUGUGACGUGGAUCAGCGAUGCAGCCUCGGGUCUGGGUCCCCUGUACAAAUCAGUGCAACCAGCGCUGUCGUGAAAAUGUAUUACGCUUUCCUACUUUAGAAAGCCCUAGUACUCCCCGCUGCUGGCCGGCAGCAUGGAGGGCAACUCCUAAGUCUUCAUAGCAAGGCCUCUCUCCCUUCUCCAGCCUCAUCUUUCGGCAGUUCCCCGCUGCUCACGUCCUCUGCCUCAGCCACACCGAGCCGGGGACCCCCACAUCGCUCCCACCCUAGAGCCAGGCGUGCCCAACCUCUCCUCCGGAGCACCCUCCGGCCUGCCCGAUCCCGCUCGCUGGGCAGCACCCGGGGCUUCUCCAGUGAGGACUGAGUGGUGUGAGAAACGAGUCAGACCUUGCUCCCUGCUCUAAUCAGCUGCUCACAGCUCUCCCGUGAGGAAGAAUUAAGGGUCUGCUACAAACACCACCUCUUCCACAGGACGCCCACCCGAAAGAGAUGGCCAGCAACCGCACAGCGCAGCACCCUCAUCGCUGGGCAUGGAUGGGGGAACCACCUGCUUGAUGACCAUCGUGGCUUUAGGCACACAGGUUUCCAACAGGAUGAAGGCUCCAACUGAUCUCCUUGCUUCUGCUCCCCGCUGCAGCCAUUUCUCCAAACCUUCUGCCACGACAGCAAGAUCAGUCUUGAAACAAAAGUAUAGUAAAAGCACGACGCUGCCCUUGGAAUAAAAUCCAAACUCCUUUCCACAGACUGCAAAUCUCAAGACUCCUCUUGGGCGUCCCACCCUCUGCCCAGGGAGCUCCAGCUCCUGGAUGUCUUUUGUGUUUCAGAAAGGUGGCAUCUUUCCCACCCCCGUGUCUUCCACUCAUGUGCUCUGUUUACUGGUGAUCUUUCUUGUUUCUAACGCUUCCAGCUCAUAGACAAGCUGAGCGAACAUCUGUUCAAGGAAUAAAUAAAUGCUGGCUUCUC